AAAAAAAAAAAAACUUCUCUCAAAUAAAUUGUUGCUAGAACAACCAACAUUUCAAAAAAAAAGUGAGAUUGUUUCACAUAAACCAAAAUAUCUCAAAAAUAUUUCAAAAGAAACAUCUCUUCAAAAGGUUCUCCCAAAAGAAGUAGCAUCUUCACAGACUGCUAUACAAAAAUCCUCACAAUAUUUUACAAAUUAAUGUUUUGAAAAAAUGUUCGUUGUGGAGGAAAAUUUUCUGAAAAGCCUCCACAUAUUGUUAUCAAAGAACUUUUCAAAGGAUGACAUUUUAAGUCAUUAGACUUACAAAAAACUCAACAAUAUUAUGAAAACAUAUUGGUUCAAACUGGAUCAAUAUUGUUCAAAUAUUACACAAACCCAAAAGACCCUAACUUUAUUACCUAUUCAAUAACCCAAAUAAUUAAAAUUCUCAAACCAAGAGAUUGGGGUGAAAACCCAAACUCUCCAAAGAAAUUUCCAACCAAAUUCACCAUUGAAACAAACCAUAUUUUACAUACUAGGACUAUCAAACAACUUGAUACAAUGCAUUCCUUUUCAACAACCAACAUUGAGACACUUUUGGCUCAUAUAUUUCAGGUAUGACACCAAUACAAAUUCCCAAAUUGGUUUCAAGAAUGGUGGAACUGGUAUGAACCAUCUUCUUUUAAUAUCCUACCAGAAAAAAUUCAAAAUUUAUGGCCCAAAAUUUUUGACAAAUUCUAGCAAGAACCAUACCAAAAACACAUAUACAAAACAAUCCAUUUAUUUUCAAAAUAGUGUAUUUCUUGGAUUAUUUUUUGGAGUUAUGCUUAUGAAUGAGGCCAAUACAUGAGAAUCCUAUUGUUAGUUCGAAAUUUCAGAACAAAAUAGUGAGAUAAAUUCAAUGACGAAAAAUAUGAAUCCAAGUAUUUGGAUGAUUUUUUUCAACAAAAAUCCAAGAUUAUGCAAGUUUGGUGCCUUGGACCAAACUACUGCAAAAUUUCUUUAAGCCAAGUCGAUUGACAACACAUUGUUGGCUCAAGAAAAAACCAAAACAAAAUAUAGAAAGCUUAUGGUUGAAAUGCUCGACUCAAUGGAUUCCACCUUAAAAGAUGAGAAAUCCUCGAUAUCUUUAAUCAAAAUGGUAGAUCUAGCAGAUGAAACCACAACAGUGACAAUCACCAAAACUAAAAAGAAAUUAAAAAAAAAAGGGAAGAAGAAGAAUAAGAAGAAGACAAUUGUUUUGAAAUAAUUGUCUACAGCCUUCAAAGAUUCCCUACAUACCUGAAGAAUUUGUUGCAAAAAAAGACAAGAAAGUCAAAUAGUAUAUAUUCCCUGGAAGACAAAAGACGGAGAUGAAUAGUAAUGAUUCUCUACAAAGAAAAGAUGAAGAUGAAUAGUAAUGAUUAUCUACAAAGAAAAGACGGAGAUGAACAAUAACGAUUCUCUACAAAAAUUCUCCCAAAAGAAAAGAUGAAGAUAAACAGUAGAGGUUCCUUGCAAAAGUUUUGUAAUUUAGAGAAUAUAUUCUCUGCAAUUGUAAUAAUAGUCUUGAAAAUAACAAUUGUGUAAGACGAGAAAAUAUAUUUGCAAUAAUGUAAGGGAUUAGAUUCCCUAACAAGGACGUUGUAAAGAGGCAAGAGCUCUCUAUAAAAGACUCUAUUUUGCAAUGAAAGGCGUGACUCAAUUUACCCAACAAUUCUCUUGAGCAAAAGUUUCUCUCCAAAAUUUUCAAAUUUUAAGUUUUUGUUUACAAAAAUUAAAAUUCAAAAUAAAUCAAAUCUAGGUUUUUAAGAAUUUAAAUUUCAAGUUUUUACUUCCAUCCAUCCUAAGAUCCUCAGAACUCGUUUGGUAUCAGAGUCAAAAAGUUAAAGUUGUCGUUAUUAUUAUUAUUAUUAUUAUUAUUAUUAUUAUUAAAACUAUAUAUGAUUAUACAAAAAGUUAAAGUUAUGAAAAUAUUUCAUAAAAAAGUUAUGAAAGUGUAGUUUUGUAUUAGAGUAAGUGGAUCAUUUCUUAAAUAUAAUAAUUAUAAUUAUAAGCAUAAUUCUAAUUUUAGGAAAAUAUUUUAUUAAAAUUUAUACUAUUUUAUUUAUAAAAAAAUAAAUUUUCACAAGUUGUCAAUUAUAUAUAUAUUUGACAGUUAUGAAUUUAAUCGAUUAUAUGACAUAUUGUAAUGACUCAGUUAUAACUAAUUAAAGCUAGCAACUAAUUAAACUAAUUAAAAGAAAAGACACAACAAAAUAUUAAGUAUAUGAAUGAUUUAUGUAUUAGCUUUCCUUUAAAGAACUUAAAAUGAUUUAUCAACUUAAAAAUUUAACUUAAAAUGAUUUUUUUUAAAAAUGAUUUUAUGCAUGAUUAUGAUAUUUAGGCUUCGUUUGUUUCACUAAAAAUGACUUUCGAAAAAUGAUUUCUGGAAAAUGACUUACUUUUCUAGAAAAGCUAAUAUUUUAUGGUGUUUGGAUGAAUCUGUGUAAAAUAUUUUCUAUUGUUUAGCAAAUUUCUUGAAAAUAUUUCAUAGAAGUUGUUUCCAAUGAAACAAACAUACAUUUGAGAUUUAUGAUAAAGAGUUUAAAUGAAGUAAUGAAUUGAUUACAAAGUGAUGUUAAUGUGAAAUUAUAGUAAAUAAUGAAUCUUCAUGAUGUUAAGGAUUAAAUUGUAAACUUUGUGAAAUUUAUAAUUGAAACAAGAGAAGCAAUAUCUAUGAAACUUUGUUAUGUAAAAUAAGAUAUUAUAAUGAAUUAUUUGAAUAAAGUGCUUAUAUGGUGAAAGAUAAAUUACAGGAAAAUAAGGACUAAAUUGAAAAAUGUACAAAAGUUUAAAGUGUGAAACAAUUUAGUACGUGAAUAAGGAAAUUAUGAUAAAGGUUUAAUUAAUUUGUUACAAGAUGAUGAAAUAUGCAUAAAGUAUUGUAAAAGUGAAAUUGUGGAAAAAUAUGGAAUUUUUAUGAUGACAAGGACUAAAUUGUUAAACUUGAGAAAAUAUGAGGAUGAAAUGAUAGAAGUGAAAUAAAUAAAAAUUUGAUAUUUGAAACAAAAUAUUGAGAUAAAUUAUGUGAUUAAAGUGUAACAAGAAAGAAAAUUAAUUUCACAUGAUUAACUACUGAAUAUAGAACUUUUAUGACAAAAAGGGACUAAAUUGAAAAAUUAUGAAAGCUUAUAAGAAAAUAUUUGAUAAGUGAAGAAUGUAGUAAAGAAUGUAACAUCUCGGUGCUUUGACCCAAUGUUCAGGUCAGGUAUGGAAGUAUUACAGUGAACAAAGUCUUAUCAAUUGGAAAAUGCCUUUCAGAAAAAAAAAAUUGGUAAGAUUUUUUAUGGGAAUAAGGGAGCAAUUUUACAUCGACUGGAAAACCUUUUACAUUGACCAUCCUAUUUUACAUGAAACAAAUAUAAAAAAAGAUUGAAAAUAUUUUCUGUAAAAGCUUUUACAUUGACCAUCCUAUUGAAUUCACUUUAUUAAUGUAUAAAUGAAUCUAGAGCAUUUAUGAUGACAGUUGUGAAAAAUAAAUCAAAUUGCAAUAUUAAAUUUUUUUUGGGCCCAAAACAAGGUAACAUCAUUUUUUUACAAUGCCCAAAUUUUUUAAAAACCAUUCAACUGAAUCGAACUACAAUUAUCGAUUUCGGAUAUUUCUAUAUUUAUUCGAUAAUUCUAUAUUUAUUCAACAUGGUUUCAAUUUCAAAAGUUAAAAAAUGAAUAGAACGAACCUAACUGAAUACACCCCUAGUUUUGGCUAAAUGCUCGAAUUGGAUUCAUUUUGAGCUCGCUAAUAAGAACAGCUCCAUCGAACAUGAAAUGAGAAUACUGAAAUUUGUUUUGGCAUGCAAAAGAAAAAAAGGGUUGAAUACUGAAGCCUCAGUCUAAAACCAAUUAGUCUUCUCAUCUCUAAGCCAUGAUAUACAGCUUCUCAAUUACAUGCAUGAUUAUAUUAUUCAGUUCAUAAAUCCUACAAUUUUGCGAGCAGAGUCCAGACAUCAUAGCCUUGUUCUUUUUCUUCCCAAUUUCAGUCAGAAUCCUGAAAUUGAUGACAUCAAGUAUAUCCAUAAUAGGCCUUCUUCAUGCCUACACUAUUCAAUCCUAAAAAAUUCAUGUUGGGAAAACAAAUGGAAACUUUAAUAAUCAGUGCAACUUCAAGAGAUCCCCUUAUCUACCUGCAGGUGUAUUAGGCUUCUUUCUUUUUGACUUGGUAUGGAUAUUUCUGGUAUAUCGAAAUGCUGCUAAUGACAAGUGGAAGAGCCACAAGACAAUACACUGAUGGCGGUGUUCCUUCAAAAAGGAACUGCAGCAUGGCUGUUACAAGUAGUGCUGAAACAAUGACGAACCCCUGCACGAAUUUGAGAAAAUUUUGUUGGAAUAAGUGUCCUUCAGAAAAUGGUGUGGUACAUAAAAUAAAUCCAAACAAUAAACGGAAGUGAUCUUCAGCUUUAAUGAUCUCUCGAAAAAUAUUUAUGUUCUUCAGAAUUUAGAUACAUAGAAGGGGAUAAGUUUCAGUUCUGUAUCAGAGCCCACACAGCAGAUGAUCCAGGAUCUAAGGCACUUGGCCUACAUCACCCUCCACCCCUCUUUGACACCAAUACAUGGAUUAGUAAAUUUACUAAUUAAGAAGAAAGCUCUGAUUUUAAAUUUGACAUUCUAUUUACUCAACGAUUUACAAUAUCUUGACCAUCCUUUCAUGUUUUAAACAUUAGAAAAUCCUUUGAUACUCCCAAGUAGUUACUGUAUUACAUUUAUGUAGUUAGGCUUACCUUUCUCACACCACCAGCAAGGCUAGUGACAAGGCCAACAAGAAUCCCACCGAGAGCAUUGGUAACAACCGGAAUCUGAAAAAAAAGGAAGAAGAUAGUUGUGCUUAACUUUAGAAUCAUGUAAUAGCAGCUAAAACAUAAGUAUUGCCAAUAUGGGCCUAGGAAGGGAUAAUCUCCUCAUGUUUGGGACUGAUUAUCCGAGGGAUAUUCAUGAUCUUGUAAUGCUUGAUGCAAUUGCUGAAUUUAAUAAAUAGUUACGAGGUAAUUCUAAAAAAACAAAAACAUAAAAGUUUUGCCAAAAUCAAGUUACAGGAUCUGAUAUAGAAAAUGUCUUAGUUCAUAAAAUACCCUACCCAGUCUUACUCUACUACCCUUUUCCUGCUUAGGUAACUAAAGAGCAUCCCUAAUAUUCUCCAGAGAAAUUUUCAACUAAAAUUGGACUAUUACCAAAGUUAGUGGAGUCCAACCAUAAAAGAACCCAUAGCGUCUGAUAGCUUCUCCAUCUGGAGACUUAGAGGUACUAGCCAGCAAGCACAAGCUUCCAACUAUAGACAUUUCUACAGUCAUCAAGUAUGAUGAGUGCUUCUUGACCUGUAAUAAAGAAAACAUUAAGGAACAUGAAGAAAAUAAGCAAGCCUUCAUUUUUGCAAUAUUGCAUUUUAAAACAGGAAAAUAGGCUAUUUCUCACCUGAGAAGCCCAUUGGCAUAAUGCAGAAGCCAAACCAGAGAGUACAGAAGCAACUAAGACUGGGGCAAUUCCAUAAAAUAAAAUUUUCUCAGGGUCACCACUGCUAGACCCUUUGCUAGAGCCUUCACCAAUGCUUAGAAGGACAGCUGCCAUGAUCAACAAGAACAGAGCCCCGAUUUGUUGAAUUGACUGUCUCUGCCUACAUAGAUAACCACAAAUUAAGCCAAAUAAGUGCACAUAUAUCCAAAGUAUCAUUAUUUUUUCAUCAAAGUCAAUAACCAUAUGCCUUAUAAUGCUUUCAAUUAAAAUAUACAUUCUGAAAAGAAGAAACAAUUAUAAGAACUCUCAAAUUCAUAAAACAUAUAAUAAGUACUUAUGUCAUUUAAAAGUCAAAACAGACAAAAAUAAACCCAGUUUCUAGCUUUAAUAGGAACCGGUUCAUCAGUACAAAGUUCUCUAAAACUAAAAGGAGAUAAUAUUAUAUAUGCAGUUUACGUCACUGGAGAACACUGAAAAGGAGACACAAAGGACAUGUUGAGAAAGAUACCUCAGUAUGAUAUAUGUAAAUAUGGCAGUGAAAAUUAUUUUUGUCUGGUUCAGCAUUGAGAAAGUAAGUGAAUCUAGAUUCCUGUAAGAUAUCUGCAACAAGCUGUUUUGAAGUGCAUAAAUUGCUGCAGGAAGACCUGAUGCAGUAAGUGAACCCACCAAAGUCCAUUCCCUUGCCAGUUUCUUUAAGCUACCAUCUUUUGCCAUGAGAAUAAGGGCACAUACAACCUAGUAAACAUAUUCCAAAGCAAUGAUCUUAUAAAUUCAAGCUUUUAUAUGCAAAAAGAACCAGAAGAAAAAGGGAAAAAGAUAUUUGUCAAAUUACCUUGGCUACCUCACAUGUCAAGACUGAUGAAGUUACAAUUACUUCUCGUCUGUAAAAGAAAGAAAGUAUCAAUUAUGAUAAGUUUAAACUUGAAACCGUCUUCGUUAUCUUACCGUAAAUUUUUUAUGCAAUUGAUAUUAUUAAUCCAUCUAUGGCAGCUCCUCAUACUGCUCAUUUUACUAUUGUUCUGCAUAUCCUUUGCUAUAUCAAAGAUACUUUGUUUCAUAAUCCUUACUUUUCUGGCACAAACUGUCAGUGCUAGAUAUAGCAUUGAACCUGAAUAUAAUGUCUGUACUGAUACUACUUCUGAGUUACUUUGGUUGCGAUGGCUAUUACAGGAUUAAGUGUUUCAUGGUCAUUGCAUAUAGCUCUUUCUUGUAAUAACUGGGAUGCUAUUCAAAUUUGCUCACAUUUCAUAAAUGGACUAAACACAUUGAGAAAUAUCUUGUUCAUGCAACUCAUCAUCUUGUCUGUCUCUUCCACUGAUCAGACUGCAGGCAUUUUUAGUACAACACAUCUUCCUGAAGAGUUCAUGAUCUAGAGUUGACUAAUAUAGAUUCUCUCCUUGAUCUUAUUAGUUAAUGAUUUCAUAAUCUAAGUGAUUCUUGUAUUUUAUUAAAUAGCUUUAGUUUAGAGUUACUUGGGUAUGAAUAUCAGUAUUACUAUGCAUUUACAUUCAACUAAAGAAAAACAAUGUUUUAGCACCCCUAUUUUAACUUGUACCAUCAUUGUUAAACUGAAAUUGCAUCCUAACAUUGCAAAUUUUAGAAUAUCACAUUAAGAUACGAAGAUAAGCAACCGUGGAUACAUUUGAGCAAUUGAUGCCAAGAAAGAUAUCCAAGCACUAAUUAAUUAUAUAAAUACGCAUGAUAGGCUACUUUUGGGCCAUAGUCCACAUCCAGAUUUCGAAAUGAUCACUCAAAAAAGUAAAUUAAAUCCAACAGGUGAUUAAUUACAAGCCAAAUCAAGAGCACAUAAAUUUAGAUUAAAAUAUUUGGAGGGAGACGAGUAUUACCUGGUGAAGCGUUUGGAGAUAAUAGGUUGGAAUCCAUAUUGAAGAGUUAGUAAAAUGGAGUAAAACCAAACGCGUGGACUCAUGUUGCCUGGGUUAGGAGUGGAAGAUUUGGGCUUUUUCGCCGCCAUUGUUGGGUACGAGAUUUCUUGUUUACCGUCGCAACGUGGUUCCUGGCCUUGCUAAUCUGAUGAUUUUGGUGGCGGAUUCAAACUGGGUUCUGUGAAUGAUUCUCUUCUUUUUUCCCCUCCACACAAGAUAUCGCGGUUUCAUUGCGUUUCGUCUUCGUAUCUUCGUUAACUAGAACCACGUUGUUUUCUUCUCCUCCGUUUUAGACCGGGUCAAGAGACAAUGACGGCUCAUUGCAUGUUUGGGUUUCUAAACGGUUAAUAGUUAGCUUAACCGAACCGAACAGAAUUAAUAUUAAUUGAAUUAAUUAAAAUUUUUAAUUAUUAAGUAGUUAAUUGAACCAAAUUUUAAAAAAAAAAUUAACUGAACUGAAAUAUUUCAGUUAAUUUGAUCGGCUAAGUGAGAUUUAUAUAUAUAUUUGUUUAAUGUUCAUUUGACUGAAUUAAACGAUAUAUAAUUUGUAUUAUUAAUUAUUAAGUUCAGUUAAUUCGAUUAAUUAUCUCAUUUCGAACUAAAUUAAAGGAUAACCGAACUUCUAAAAAAUCAUUAAUCGGCCUCCGACCUAAUUAGAUCGGUUAACUAACCGAUUAACCGAAUUAGAUCGAUCCGACCGAUUAAUUCGAUUUUAACUGAAAUUUGAACACCCCUAUUUAAAAUUACUCUAACUUUUUAAAAAAAAAUUUAUUUAUUAAGGUUUUUAUUUUUUAUUUUUUUUGAAAUAAUAAGAAAUAUAAAAUUUCAUAUUCACAAUAAAUAACAUGCACAAAAUGUACCUCUAAAUCUGAACAAUUCUUAUCCAAUUUAAUUAUGUACUUGAAAUAGAGGUGCUCCAAAAAAAUUUCGGCCCGCACCCUAGGUCCGGGCUCAACCUGAAAUAUGGGCCUGAGAUUUUUUCCAGGCUCGGCCCGGGAAAAAAUUCCUAAGCCCGAGCCCAGCCUGGCCCGGCCCUUUUUUUAAUAAAACACUAAAAAUUUAAUUUAAAAAUAAAAAAAUUUAAAGAAAGUAUUUUAAAAAUAUUUUAAAAUUAAAAAAUAAAUAUAUAUUUAUUAUAUUCGGGCCGAGUCAGGCCCAGGGCAAAAAAAGUGGUGCUCAAGGUCCGGCCCGUUUUCUAAAUGGGCCUCAUUUUUUUACCCAAGCCCAUAUUUCAAGCUUAUAUUUUUACCCAAACAUUCUCAUAUUUCAUGCGGACCGUCGGGCCGGGCUGCCCGGCCCAUGAACACCUCUAACAUGAAAUAGAUUUUUUUGAAAUUCUAAAGAAUGUAUCCCAAAAUCCAUUAAAUAUGGGAGUGGGCCCAAAAAUAUUGAAAAUGAGAGGCCCGAAAACUAAAGAUUAAUAUUGAAAAUUUAGAACAUAUGCGGUGAGCGUGGAUCGAACACGCGACCUUCAGAUCUUCAGUCUGACGCUCUCCCAACUGAGCUAUCCCCGCUGAUGAAUUUUUUUCCUAAAACUCUAAAUACUAUUUAUAGUGUCUCCAAUGUUAUGCUAAGUUCAAAUUUGUUCUCCAUUUAGACAUUGAUAAAAAAAACUAGACCAAUCUUAAUGCCUUUUCUCCCUUUAACGACUAGAAAUUUAGAAACGAAAGAAGAAGAGUGGGUAAGAGAUGAGCGUUUAAACCAGAGCAUGAAUGAGCUUUUGCAUUUUUUGCUUCUUUCUUUGUUGACGACGCCUACUUUAAGAUUUGAAGAAGAGUGUGAAAUUGCAGAGUUGAAGAGGAAGAAGAACAUGGCGGAGAAAGACCAUUCAAACGUCACGUUGUUGCCGCCUUACCCAAUUCAUCAAUAUAUAUUUUCCCCCUUUUUAUAAUUAUUUACUUUUAUUUAUUGUUUUUUUAAAUUAUCACCCUUGAAUAAUUAUUUUGGAUUACAAAAAAAAAAAAUAUUUUUAGAAUGUGAUUAUUAGAAAAGUCACAUUAUAAUGAUUUAAGUUAAAAAGUAUGAAUUAAAAUUUGAAAUUAUCAAAUUUAUUUUACUAAACACUUUUUUUAAAAUAUAAUAUUGAUGUAUUUAAUAUUUCCAUAAACUUUAUUAUUAACAAAGGUUUGAAUUAAAUAUUAAACAAUAAUAUUUUAAUUAGUCAUUUAAAAAAAAUCUUUUAACUUAUAAUUUUAAUUAACAACAAAAUUAUUUCAAAUAUAUUCUAAGUAUAACCGUGCAUAUCUACAACCAUUAAUUGAAAGAAAAUAAUACAUUAUUCCUUUCAUAAUGCUUCUUGCAACUACUCAAUAAAUAACUGAAACUGAUUAUUUUAAAUUUGGAUUCCUCUAAAUUAGUUAUGAUGGUUGUAACAAAACAGAUCUACUAAAUUAUGUUCUGUAUAUAAAUAACAUGAUGAUCUAUAGAAAAAGAGGUGAAGAAUUUUUUACAAACCUUCUUUUUCUCCCUUACCUUUAUUUAACGGAAACUAUGUUGGGGCCUCCCCAAAAUUUUUAGAAUUUUUCUCAGAUUAAUCCCUCAACCUUCUUCUUAUCAUAAUAGCAAUCAUUACAUACAUCAAUCCUCGUAAGUAACACCAUUAGCCUUUUUUUUUUAUUUGUGGCAAAACUAGCCAACUUUGUAGUAGCAUGUGUAUUAAUGAUUAUAGAUAUGUUAAUUUAAUUAAGGUUAAAUUAUAAAAAUUGUAACACCUCUAACCUGUAUUCAUCGUCGGAACAGAGUUACGGAGCAUUACCAGAGAUUUCAUAUAAUAUAACAUUUAUGUCAGAAACUAAUCAAAAUCAAACAUAUUGUCCCUUAUAUGAGCCCUCGAGGCCCAAAACACGUGUUAAAAAUAAGUCAGGAUUAAAUCGGGUACUCAAAGAAUUUUUCAGAAAACAUUGAAAAUUUCAAAGCUGCAGGGGACACAUGGCCGUGUGGCCAGACUGUGUGAGUAGAGGCACGCCCGUGUCUUAGGCCGUGUGGGCAUUCGAAAUAAGGACACACGGCCGUGUCCAACCUGUGUCCGUACUCGUGUAACUCCCUGACUUGGGUCACAUGGCCAAGCCACACGCCCGUGUGCUAGGUCGUGUGUGCAUACUGACUUGUGUAAUUUAAAUGAUACAGGGGACACAUGACCGUGUCACUUAGCCGUGUGUCACACACAGUUGAGACACACGCCUAUGUCUCUACCCAUGUGGACGAAAAUAGAUCAUUUUCUAAGCCACAUUUCUCACCCAAAUUGAUACGAACCUAACCUCAAGAAUUUACACAUCAAUAAGCCAUAACAAGACAUUCAACACAAACUAAAAUCAAGCCUUAUACAUGUAAUACUACCAUAUAAAACCAAUAUACUCAUAAGUACCUCCAAUGACAACUUAAAAAUAAGUCCACCAAUAUCCAAACUUACCUAUUUAAUUUACCUAACUAAGUUACCAAAGUUCAUUAUAAUUCAAUUACAUACAUACAUAUAACACUCAUACUCAUAUCACAAUAUACCUCAUUCUCAUACUAAUAUGUAAGUUGGUUAUUUAAACAAAAUAUCUAUUGUAACACCCCUAACCCGUAUCCGUUGCCGAAUUAGGGUUAAGAGGCAUUACUAAUCAAAACAUAACUCAGAACAGACAUUCAUUAAAGUUUAAUAAUUAUAACAGUUACAUAUGAUAAGCUAGGUCUAAUAUUAAACAUGCAAAAUUUUAAGCUUCUCUUUUGACCAUUUAAAACAAAACAAAGACAUUACAAACUAGCAAAUCCAUAAGGAAAUAAACCAUUUUCGUAUGGCUAUUAAAUUCAUAUACAAUAUAACAAAUUACGACCUUCAAAAUAUUUAUCUAGUCUGUACAUGCCAUAGUUAGAAUUUAAACAUUUUAAUACUGAGACAGUAGAUAGAAUGAUGAUCUUGCUAACGAUCCCCGAGCUUGAAGCUUGAUCUUUAAGUCUAUAAAACGGAAAGAUAUAAACAAACAAAGUAAGUUUUUAUAGCUUAGUAAGUCUAUAGCAUAACUAAACAUAUAUAUAUAUAUAUAUAUAAUAUAACUUUUAAAUUUAAUUCAUUGAGAUUGCAAUUAGCACAUAUAACUGAUAUUCAUAGAUAUGCUGUACUCAGACCAUUUUAUUUAUAGUCAAAUAUAUAUACCUGUCGAAUGCAUUCAACUGAAUAUAUGUAUAUUUAUACCAAACGACAUUAUAAUUGAAUGUAUAUAAUCGAGCAUAUAUAUAUGUUAAAUACAUAUCAUAUCCGAUUGUGUAUGUAUACUUAUGAUAAACUUAUAACCAAAUACAAAUCUAAUGCAUAUGACCGAAUGCAUUCAUCUCCAUCAAAUACUUAUAAACAAAGGUAUAUACAUCUCAAUUUCAUAUGUAAAUACUUAUCAAAUACAUAUACCAAAUAUUUAUACGUAUACAUUUAUCAACUACAUAAACUGAAAACAUAUAUGUAUAUUUUACAAAUGCAUAGAUCGAAUAUAUACAUAUUCAUUAAACACACUUAACUGAAUGUAUAUAUGCUCAUCAAUUAAAGAUAACCAAAAUCAUAUAACUGUACACUUAAUCACAUACUUUAAACAGAUUCACCGGCACUUAGCCUGCUAGGCUUAAAGCCUGAUUCAGUACACCGGCAUUAAGCCUGCUAGAUGUAAAGUCUGAUAUUGUUUUACCGGCAUUAAGCCUGCUAGACGUAAAGUCUGAAAUUAUUUCACCGGCAUUAAGCCUACUAGACGUAAAGUCUGAUAUUGUUUCACUGGCAAUAAGCCUGCUAGGCGCUAAGCCUGAAAUCUCAAUUUCACAUACACAAAAUAAUUCCUCGAAAAAUUCUUAAUAGCAAACACAUGUUUGUUGUAGUACAUGUUCAAUCAUAAAAGAGUUUACAAAUCAUACUUUAAAUUCAAUUCAAGUAUUUAUAAAUUUAUAAACAUAUAUAUAACCAAACCUCACAUAUAAAAAUAUAAGAUUUUAUAUCUUUAAUUCAAUCCAAGAACCUAUAUAUGAAUAUACAUAUAGAUAUACUCGAACUCCCAUGUACGUAUUUAACAUUUAUACCUUUAGCUAAAAUCAUAAACUCAUACAUGUAUAUACAUUUAUAUUCGAAUCUAUAUGUAUAUAUAUACACAUUCUUGUCUUUAUUUCAUAAUUUAUUCAUGUAUAUAUAUAUAAUUACUUAACUAAAUUCAAUACAAGAAAUUUACAUAUAUAUAUACACGCUUAUUUGAAAAUAACAUAUAUAUAUUUAAUUUCAUACCUAAGUCCAAUAUAAAAACAUAUACAUGUAUAUUCAUACAUAUUCAAAACUCCACAUGCAUACUUAACAUUCAUACCUUAAAAUAUAUUCAAGAUUUAUUCGAGUAUUUUCAUAUACAUUCCAACCCACAUAUACAUACUUAUUCGAAAUUACCUAUACAAUUACAAUACACAUACCUUUAAUUAAACCAAGAAUUUAUACAUGUAUAUACAUAUAUGUAUUCGAACCUUGUGUAUACAUAUAUAACCCUCGCACAAUCAACUAAAUUUAAGAACAUAUACAUAUAGAUGCCAAUAUAAAUAUUCGAACAUUAUAUAUAUAUAUAUAUAUAUAUAUAUCUAUAUGCCAUUCAUACUUUAACUUAAUUCAAAGAUUUAUAUAAGUAUACACCUAUAUAUUCGAACAUUGUAUAUACAUAUAUACCAUUUAUACUUAAUUUAUUCAAUCAAAUUACUUUUAUUUAUAGCUCAACAAAAAUACAAUAGACAUACAUACAUACAUACUGAUUUAAUAACAUUAAAUAGCUAAUAGACUUACCUCGGACAGUGAAAAAUCGAAACCGAACAAUUAGUCGACGACUUUAGCUUUCCCCGAUCCAAUUCCUAUUUCUUUGGUUCUUGAUCUAAAUAUAUUCAAAAUGAGCUAGUUUAAAUAUUAUUACAUUCAAUUUAGUCCAAAAACACAUAAAUGGGAAAAUUACCAAUUUGCCCCUGAUAUUUACACUUUUUGCAAUGUAGUCCCUAUUGCAUAAAACACAAAAUACACAAAAUUUGCCCACACUAUAUGAGGGCUGAAUAUUCCCAGUACUCCUACAAGUCCACACAUUUCAUUUAUUUUACAUUUUAGUCCCCCAAAAAUUUAAUUUCACAAUUUAGUCCUAAUUACUCAAUUUCACCAAAAAUUCAAAGACAAAACAUGUUAAUCUUUCACAUAUCUUUCAUAUUUCAUCAUUAACUAACAAAAAGCUCAAGAAUUCAUCAAUGGCAUAACACAAAAUCAACACCAAAUUCUAAAAUUAAAGUAUGGGUCUUGUAGUACACAAAGCAACGAUCUCAAAAACGUAAAAAUUUUCAAAAACCGAACAAAAACGAACCUCUAAUUUUGGAUGAACAUAGCCGAACCUUUCAAAGCUUCCAUGGCUUUUUCUUCUCCUACUUUCGGCUAAAGAAGAUGAAGGCAAAUGUUAUUUUUAUGUUUUAAUUAACAUAUAUAUUAAUAUUUAGCCAUUUACUUAAUUAACCUUGGUUUCUAAAUAUAUAAUAUAUAAACAUUAAGGCUAAUUUAGUCCAUAACCAUCCACUAUCUAUAUAGUGGGUUAAUUGCACUUUUAAGCCUCCUAAUUGAAAAGACAACCACAAAUAGAUGCUUUUAAAUUAAAACCCUAAAUUUUCAUUUUACGCAAUUAAGCCCUUUUUAUUAAAUUGAGCACUCAAAAGAUCAAAUUUUCAUACGAAAUUUUCACACAUAGUAAUUCACAUACUGCAAAUACCAUAAAUAAUUUUAAAAUAUUUUUCUAACUCGAAUUUAUAGUCCCAAAACCAUUUUGUCCGAUUAGGGUCAAAAUCGGGCUGUUACAUCUAUCAUAAUAUUUUCACAAGACAAGCCUUGAGUAAUCCAUACAAAAACCUAUACAUGCCAUAUAAACCAUAUUGAACGUUUCAAAAACUACUGGAAUAAGUUGGAUAGUGUGUCUUGAGUGUUGAUCCGAUCGUCCAACCUUCCGAAAAUCUACAAGGACAUUAAAUAACGCAAAUAUGCUUAAUGAAGCUUAGUAACUUCGACGAAAUAAAUAAAAAUCUUAUCGAACUAACUAUAAUAAAUCAAAUAAUAAAAAUCAUUCAUGAUAACUCCCUGUCAAUCACAACUUCAAUCGAUGCAUACAUCCAUUUUCAAGUCGUUACCAAAAACAAAUAACAUGUCUUUAAAUUUCAAUAAAUAAAUCACCUUAUCGAAUCUUUCCCAUUCAACAACUUACAGAUAAGAGUACAUCGUUAACAGAAGCUCAUAAGAGUUGGGUCUCCCAAAUACGCCAACAGAAGCUUGAAAGCUGAACAGGAGCUCGUAAGAGCUGAACAGAAAGUAAAACAGGAGAGUUCGCAACAAAUGCUGAACCCUGGUUUACUUGGGUAUUUUUCCGAUAUCAUCCUCCAAUACUGUCAUACGCCAAAUCACGAAUGUACUCAAAUCUCACAUUCCAUCCAAACUGAAUAUCCAAUUUAAUAUUAUAAUUCCAACAAUGACUCAUUUCCAAAUAAUAAAAUAAAAUGCAUAAUAUCGUUCAUCAAAUUUGUACAAAUAUAAAAUUUUAACCAUACGAACUUACCUAGGCUAAAUUGUAGCAAUUGUAGAAGUUGAGGGACUAUUCUGCUAUUUUUCUUUUUUCACGAAUUUCUACGGGAUCUUAAUCUAAAAUAUAAAAUUACUCAUUCAUUAGCAUAUAUUUCACUUCUAAUUCAUUUCACAAUUAAUACCCUUUUAUUAACUGAAAUGGCACAUUAAAUAAUCAUGCUAAUCAUGAACACAUUCAACAUUCUAUAAUCGAUUUUCAUUUUAACUUAAUAACCUAGAUAGAAAGGCUACCUAAACAUUCGAAUAGGUCAUAAACAUAAAUAUGUCAUUUACUAAAUCCAUGCUAAGAUACCAUCUAAGCUCAUCAUAACACACAACCAAGCUUAAACAUAAAACAAGUAUAAUGCCUAGCAUAUACCAUCCCAGAAAAUAACUAAGCAACUAUCAUGCUAAUCAUAAGUUGACCAUUGCCUUCACACUUAUAAAUAUUCACAUAGUAUCCAAAAUACAAUCAAGCUACAAAAUAAUCAUAUCAACCAAAGAUCUCCUAGGUACAUGACAAGACCAAAAUAGAAACAUCACCAAAACUUGAGUUCGGGAUCGUUGUUGGAUGUUGAGUCAGUGCUAGAAUUACUAUGUAACUAACCUGCGCACGAGAAAAACAAUGUACGCUAAGUAUAACUUAGUGGUGAAUCUACUAUCCAAAUAAUUUAUUAUAAUACAGAACAUUAAAUUACUUAUUUUAAAAGAAAAUAUGCAAUAAGAAAAAUGCAAAGAAACAUAUAAUUUUUCACCCUUCUUUCAUAACUUCAUUAUUCAAUUUAAACAUGAUUAUUUCAUGAACCAUCACACUUUCUUUUCAUACAUUCAAUAUAUAAAAUUAUUUAAAGUUCACAACCAUCUUUAUUUCCAUUCAUUUCUCAUACCAUAAUUCUGGGUUCUAUGUCAUUUUCAAUUUCAUCUUUCCAUUUCAUUUUCCCCCAUUAACAUGACUUGGACUCGGAUACACGGAUCCAAACAACACACCAAAGUUUGACACCUAGUGCCUAACAGAUAAAUCCGUAGAAAUGAAUUGCGCCCUCGCUGGCUGGUAAACUGACAAAUAGAUGUGCCCAGCACUAGUCAGUAUAACCGAAAAAUGGGGUGCCCAACACUCCCCGACAUGUAGUCGUAAAACCCUGAACUCUUUCUAUCCUAUGGCAUGCCAAUUAUACUCGACCCUGCCCGAACAAUUAAUCGAGUAACAAUGUUCUCAAUACAAUUUGUAAUCUCUUUUCAUAUCAUGAAUUCAUCCAUUCAAUCAUUCUUUCAUAUACAUAACCAACCGUUUCAUGUUCAUAUAAAAUCCUAUAUCACAUACAAUAUACAAUAUUUUUACAACUAUGAAAUUUAUACCUUGUCACUAAUAAUCAUUCAAUCAUCUCAUCUCAUUUCAAUUCAAAUUCACAUCUCAUAGUAGUAUUUCAAAAGACUAACUCACCUUAUAUGUACUUACCAAAUAAUGCAAUGUAUAAAUGCAAUGUUUGUAAAUAGUUUGGAUUAUAGAAAUGCAAACUGUAAAUUUUGAGCUAUUCGUCGUUGACUUUGUCUUUUCCUUUCUUUCUCGAGGAUUUCGGGACAGCGCUAGCUACGGAUGAAACAAUUAAAAUAAAUUAACAAUACACAACUCAAUUCACGUUCAAUUACAAAAUUUAUACUACUUUUGCAUGAAAUUCAAUUUAGUCCAUGAAACCGGGACUAAUAUAACUUCAUAACUAACCCUCCAACAUUAGGCUGAAUUUUCCUAGAGUCCCUAUAGGACUUCCUACUUCUCAAUUAAAACCCUAAAUUUGAAUUUUGCGUAACUUAGUCCUUUUUGCAUAAAAUUAUCAAUCGACUUUACAAUAUAGUUCCAUUUCACAUACAACCUUAAAAUCUAUCAAAAUAACACCAAGAACUUAGAUUUCUCUACAAUGGCAACUUCCAUAAACUUCAACAAUUCCAAAAAUUUCAACAUGGGUAAGCUAAAUUAUGAACUUGGGGUACCAAAAACAUCAAGAUUACAAGAAAAGAGACUAACUUAACUAACCAAAUACAAUUUGAAAAGCUUAAACUCCCUUGGCUGUUUUGUCUUCUUCUUCUCCCUAAUGUUUUGAAUUUUUCAUGCAAUUUGAGAAAGAAACUUUCUCUUACAAUCCACUAAGUUUUACUUACCUUUAGUUUUUAUUUUGUUUAUUAUUUUAACAUAAAGUUUUAACUAAAACUUUGUAAUAUACUAAACAUAUAUAUAUAAAUCAUGACCGCACACUAUACUAACCAUUUAUAUAAUGAUCUAUUUAUUUAAUAAAUCCCUUAAUCAAGUUUCUUCUUAUAACUAUUAUCAAUUUCUACUUUUAUCACUUAUGCAAUUUAGUCCCUGUACUUAAAUUAAACUCUAAUUCCACAAAAUUACCUAAUCAAAAUUCAAUUCACUAAUAAAAUAAUUACUUAAAUAUUAAAUAAAAAUAUUUACAAGUCCGGCUUACAAAAAUAGGGUUUCAAAACUACACUUUUCGGUACCACAGACUCUCAAGUCAUUAUAGUUCGGGACACUUUCGGAUAAAAAAUAAUGCAAAAGAAAAUAGGGACACGACAUCAUGGGGCCAGUAUCGUGAUACUGGAUUCUCUAAUGCUCAUGUCGCAGCAUCUUGUGGCAAGUGUCUCGACCUUGAAUCCUCUUGUGCUAAACAAGUCAAAACUUCUCUAUAUUUGUGUUAAGAUCAAUACCACAUUAUCCAAUACAUAUACCAAUAAAUUUAAAUUCAUAUAAUACUUCAAUCUAUUGAAAAAUACUUCCUUAAUUCAUCAUAUAAAAAUUACUCACUUAAUGUCCUAACAAUUUCAUUUAAACUUCUUUUAUAUAUUAACAAUUCCAUCACUUAUAUCAACUUCUUAGCAUUACAACUCUUCUACUAUUUUCCCUCCUCCUCCUCCUCCUUUUCAUUCCACAUCCUAGAUGUACAUAUAUAAGAAUAUUUGGUUUUUAGUAUAGCAUGCAUAUAUGUAAUAUAAAUUAUUCUUUCACUGAUUACACGAAUACUUAGGGGGUGUUCAAAUUUCAAUUAAAAUCAAAUUAAUCAAUCGAACUGAUCUAAUUCAAUUAAUCAGUCGAUUAACAAAUCUAACUUAGUUUGAGGUUGGUUAAUGAUUUUUGGAAGUUCGAUUAUCGGUUAAUUCGGUUCGAAAUCGGGUAAUUAACCGAACUUAAUAAUUAAUAAUACAAAUUAGAUGAGGUUUUAAUUUAGUUAAUUCGGUCAAAUGAACAUUAUCAAUUUUUUAUAUGUUUUAUACUUGUUUUAACCAAAUAAAAAAAACAUAUAAAUUUUGGUUCGGUUAAAUUUUUUUGAAAAAAUUUUGGUUCGAUUAACGGUUAAAAGAUUAAAAAGUUUGAUUAAUUUGGUUAAUACUAGUUCGGUUCGGUUAAUCAUUUGAACACCCCUACAAAUACUCUUAACAAGGUUUUCUACUUGAGUAUCAAUUACUAAAUUAUUUAUAUCUUGGCCUACAAAAUACAAAAUUAAGAUCCACUUGUUGUUUUUGAAACUAGACUCAACGAAAUUUUUACCGAAUUUUCUCAUAAACCAAUUAAUAUAGUUUUUUCUUCACUUCAUCUCCUGUUCCAUUGCUAGGCAUGUAACAUCCCGCUUUUUAGUGAUGUCGAGAAUGGUGGUUUUGGGGCUACAAAUACAACGAGUGAGUCUGUAAAUAUUAUUAUUUAAUAUUUAUGAGUCAAAUAUGGUAUUAUAAUAAAUUGUGAUUUGAUAAUUUUUGUUAUUUGAAUGAAUAGUUAAGUUAAAGUGGCUUGUCCCUAAAGUUAAGUGGUUUUGAAAAAUGAGGUUUUGGGACUUUGUUUCUAUAAAUCGAGCCCGUAAAUAUUGUUAUUAAAUAUUUAAAAAGUUGCUGUAUGGGUUUAUUUAAGUUCGGUCAAAAACCUUUAGUGAUUUGUUAGUUAACUAAAGAAAAAGAACUAAACUGUAAAAGAUGUAAAAGUUAAUCGAUGUUAAUGUUUAUUAGCUAAAUUUCAUAAUUAUUGUUAGUUUAAGGUUUUAUACUGCAAUUAAACAUAUUUUAAUAGACAUGGACGGUUAGUGGAUGAUUAAAAAAUUUAUAAAAUAUGGUUUUAUGUUUAAAAUUAAAAAGGUUAGAUAAUAAAAUAAAAUAAAAAUUAAGGAAGAAAGAGAAAACACUUUCAUUUUCUUCUUCACCUCACGAAAGCACCAUGGUAGCUUGGGGGAGAAUCAGUCAUUAGGGUUUGAACUUCAAGUUUCUAUUUUGGUGAGUGAAUUUCUUACCCAUUUCUUGUAAUUUUUAUGUUUUAGAGAUCAUUACAACUAGGUCAGUUAACCCGUAUCUCCGUUUUUGAAACUGUUAAAGAUUUUGGAUUUUGUCAUUGAUGAAUCUUUGUUAUUCUUGGUGUUAAAUGAUGAAUUUGAAAUAUUAGUUGUUGAUUAGGACUUUUUUGUAAAGUGAUUUUUGAUAAUUUUAGUUAAAGGACUAAUUUGAUAAAAUGUUAAAAUUGACAUAGAAUUUUAGUGAAUUGUGAAUAAAUAUGGACUUUCCUAGUAUGGGAAUAAAUUUGGCUAGCAAGGUUAUUUGAGAAAUUUUGUUAAAUUUGGAGUUUCAGGUUUGAGGACUAAAUUGUGAAAAAUGUAAAUGUUUAAGGAAAAUGUGUAAAUAAUGAAAACUUAAGGGUGACAUGCAUAAAGGUGAGCUGGAAUAUGUAUUUGAAUUUGAUAAAAUUGAAUUUAAUUAUUAUUAAUCAAGAUUUGAUUCGUACGGAAGAUAAUUGAGGAAAAAGAAAAAUUAUGAAAUAGUCCCUAUGAGUCGAUCAUUGGUAUAUAUUAGGUAAGUUCAUAGUAUAAAGUAUACAUACAUUUUUAUUUUAUAUAUUGUAUUAAUAUAUGUUGAAUUAAUUGUAGUUUAUAUGAAAUUUUGUUAUUAAGUAAUAAAUCCCUAAAUAUUGCAAUUUACUACAAGCAAGAAACAAGUAUUUGAUAAUUGGUGAAUGUCGUGAUUAUAUGUUAUUGAAAUGAGUUUCAUGAAUGUUCAAUAUGUGUUUGGGAAAUUACGAAGUGCCUCUGAUUGUUAAUGUUUGAAUUAAAUUAUCAAAGCCCGAUUGAGCGUAGUAAAUGGUUAGGAUACAAUUGGCAUGCCAAUAGAGUUUGUACGCGUGCUUGUACAAAUUUGUUAAUGUUUGAAUUAAAUUAUCAAAGCCUGAUUGAGCGUAGUAAAUGGUUAGGAUACAAUUGGCAUGCCAAUAGAGUUUGUACGCGUGCUUGUACAAGUUUGCACGUCAAUGCCUCUGUUAACAUUUCGAUGCUCUCUAGUGUGUUUUGGGGAACCUGAGUAUCUGAGUCAUGUUGCUAUAGUUCACCGGGAUAUGAAAAUAUGAGUCUAAUGUUGAAAUAUUGAUGUAUACCGUUUGAAUAUUGUAUCAAGAAUGAUCUUGUAAUAUGUUUCAUAUUGAUGAUUAUGUUAUUAAAGGUAGGUUUUAUAUACAUAUAUGAAUUAGUUUGGAUUGAAUUAUUAUGUAACAGGAAUCAUAUAAUGAACCAUUUUCAGUACUAAUCCUAUACGUGUCUUGUAAAUGAUUGACAGGUUUGAUUAAUCUAAUUUAUUUAGUUUUCACAUUGUUUAAUUGAAGUAAGUGAUUUGGGGAUGAUAUGUUUAUAUGAAUUAUUGAAAAGAAAUGUCAUAUACAGAAUGAUUAUGUGUUAAAUGUGCAAAUGAAAUGGUAAGAUGAAAUGAUUAAAUGAAAUGCUUAUAUGGAAAUAUUUAUGAAAUGGUUAUUGAAGUGUUUAUACAAAAUAUUUAUAAGAAUAUAAAUAUGGGAAAAGGGACAUUUAAAAUGAAUACUUGAAAUAAAUAUGUUAAAUAUUAAAUGAGUAUUUGAUGAUUGGUUUAUAUACCAAAUGUGCUUUUCAUGUAUAUGUUUGAUAAUAUGAUAAAGUUACAUAUUUUAUAUAUGAACUCAAUAACUUUAUGAGACUUGUUUUGUGUAUAGGUAAUUAAUGAACUUAUGACCAUGAUGUUGAAUUAUCUUGUAAAAUAUUUACAUCUUUUACGGUAAGUUAAAGUUAAAGUUUAUUAUGAACUUACUAAUCUUUACGCAAGCUUACCUCGUUUUGGUUUUUCUUCCUCGAGAUUGUCAGAUACAAGCUGUCAAUUGGAUUGGCUUUGGAGAUUACACUAUCUGGCAACUUGAUCUAUAACCAUCUGUUCACUUUGGUCUGGUUAUAAGUGGCAUAUAAAUAGGAUUUCGAUAUAUAUAUGUCAUAAGUAUUAUGGAUAUGUUUUGUGUCAAUUGAAGUAUGAGAUGUGUUUAUUGAUGUGAAUCUUAAUUAGUAUUUUGGUUGAUUGUGGUGUGUGAUGGUAAUGGUAUGUCUAUAUAAAUGUUUUUGACCAUUUGUUAUAUGCCUUAUGGAACUAGUUUGAUGUUUGGUUCAUUGGAUGUAAAUGAAAUAUAUGAAUAGAUAUGUUUGUUGUUUUAUAAAAUAAGAACAUGUGUAUAUUGAAUGUGAGUUUAGAUUAGUGUUUAAAUUGUGGUGCAUAUUGGUUAUGCACAUAGGUUGCAUGUUUUUGGUAUGUUUUUGGCAUGUUUAGAUGUGUUUUGAAUAGGUGAAUAGGGUUGGAAAUGGUUUGAUUUGGUUUUUAAGAAACGGUGCAUGAAAUUGCUUGUUUUGGAAGUUAUUUUAGGUGCACAUGGCCUGGGACACAAAUUGUCACACGGUAUGUUUACACGGCCGUAUGUAUUGUUAAUUUGAGGUGCAGGUUUGACACAAUCUGGCACACGGCCUGUGACACUACCAUGUGACCACAUUUCAAACACUCACACGGGUGGGCAUACGGGCUGAGACACGACCGUGUGACCCAUAUUUCGAAUUGUACAUAGUUUGGCCACACGACUUGUCCCUGAGCCACACAGCUUGAGCUCUGUCACACGGCCUGGCCAUAUGACCGUGUGACCCUUGUUUUCAAAUUUUUUCAUGUUUUCUUUUUUAAUUCAAAUUGGUCCCUAGAUGAUUUCAAAGUCAUUUUUAUGUCCUGUAUGCUCGUUUAAAAUCUCGUAAUUGUGAUUAUGCUAUGAAUGAAAUGUAGAUUCAAAUGUUGUAUUUAAUUUAAUAAAUGAAUAGUUUAAUGAUGUAAAUUGUUUUGUUAUAUGCUGUAAUACUCUGUAACCUUAAUCUGACGACAGAAAGAUGUUAGAGGUGUUACAAGACAACUUUGACCCUUCACUAAAAAUCAUUUAUCUUUCAGUACAAGAUUCAUAUAAUGUUGCCUUUUUUUUCUUAAAAUAGACACAUUAACAUUUUAUAAAAAUAAAUUUCAUAUCCUAAACAUUUUUUUUACAAUUUUUAAUGAUCUUUCAUAGUCAGAAUAGGGGAACCCGAAAUCAAUCUAACCUUGUCUCACUUAAAUUUAUUUAUCUCAUGAUCUACAAUUCCAUUGCUUAUACCAUUUCUUAUAUACAAAACUAGACUAAAUAGACUUUAAUUAUUAUUUGGUUCAACCUCUAACUCAAUUUCUAAAUUUUUUUAUUAAUAUUUCAAAGUUGAGCUACUGCUAUUGUUCAGAAACUGUUUUAGUAAAAAUAUUUACUUUGCCAUGAUUCUUUGCAUUAGCUUUCAAUUGGAUGUAUAUAAUCAUUAUACUUUUGAUUAUUGGUCAAUUUAGUCACACAAUUUCAUAUGUUAGUAACAUAUUCAUUUCUUUAUCUUAACAUUUCUCAUGAUACAAAUUAUAUCUCUCUUUUUCUCAUAAAAAACUUCAUGUCUUUAUAUAUCAUUGAUUCUAAAAAUACCUUAUAUCUCUACUAUUUUGACUAAAUUCUCAUAUAAUACAUUCAAAUCACAACAUAUCCAACUUAAUUUUUUGAAAUACAAAUAAAGUUAAUAUGAAAAAUUACCUCUUUAAUCAAGAAUUUCCUCCCAUUUUCUUCUCUUCCCUUUUCUUCCUUAAUUACAUGACUAUCCUUCUCUUUUUUUCUAAUUUUCUUCACUUCCACCUACUAAUUUCUUGCUUUUAAAUUGAUGAACAUACUCUCUAGAGUCUCUACUUAAUUUUUCCUCGUUGGUGCCUAUGAAAAUUUCUGAGAAUUUUGAGAGAAAUAGUGAGAUUAUAUGGAAAAGGACCAAAUUGUAAGAAAUGAAAACUUCUUCCCCCUCUUAUAAUGCCGGUGGCAUUGAAGCAUCGAUAAGUAUGAAGAAUUUUCUUCAUAUUUCUAUACAAAUAUCUUAAAAUAAAGUAUUAUGGUAAAAUAUUAAUAAAAUAUUCUAACCAAUCAUGUUCUAACACCAUUUUCCACUAAUUAUUAUCAUGGUAGUUCAUGAUAAAUAACUAGAUUGAGAAAUGAUCAUUUUUCUCUUUUAAUAUCUUAAUAUUCACUUUUGUUUCAUUUCUUACGUUUGGUAAAAUUCUAAUUUAGUCCCUCUCUUUUUUCACUUAUUUAAUUUGGUCCUUAUUCACCAAAUUAUUUUAUUCUUUAGUCUUUUCCUCCUACAAGGUAUUUGCACUUUUGGUCCUUCAAAAAUUUCCAUAAUUAUAUUUUGACCCCAUGAAUUUUGAAUAUUACAUUAAGGUCACAACACUUUUCACAUUUUUAUGAGUUAAUCCCUACCUUUUAAAGUGGAGAAAAAUAAGUACAUAUACCAAAGUGGACCUAAUUGUCAAGUUCAAGGGCUAAAAGUUAUAUUAACCAUUUAAUUCUAUUUCGCCUUGUACAUUUAACUUUAAAAAGGAUUGAGAUGUAAUCAUAUAUUAGGCAAUAAACCUAAAAUAUUUAGCUGUGAUAUUUAUAGAUUAUUUUUUCAUAUUUAUAUAUGGAAUGCAUAUUGAAAUUAUUAUAAAUGACUAUUAAAUGUUAAAUAAAGUAGGGGUAGAGAGAGGAAAUUAUAGAUGUAUCUAAUAUUCAUGGAGGUGAUAUUCAAAUUUUAAAAUCUACGGUAAAGAGUAGGGACAAACGAUCAUUGCCUCGAAUUUUUUUGAAAAGUUUCAUUAAAUUACUUCAAAGUUAUUAAAAUUUUAAUUAAACUCAUCUAAAAUUUCUAUAAAUUCUCAUUAAAUCUAAUGUCAAAAUCUACCUCUGGCCAAGGGCGAAACUAGGAUUUCAUUAAGGGGACUAAAAUAGCAUAAAAAAAAUAUUUUUGAAACUCCCUUAACCGAAUAAUCUCCUUAACCCCAUGUAAGAUAAACACAAAUUCAAAUGGCGUUGAGCAAAAGUUGGUCCUUGAGCACUUAUGUUAGUAUUUUGAUUGUGUAAUUUAUAACAACUAAGAGUAGCGUAAUUUGCUUAUUUAAAUAUAAUUUUAUUAUAUGUUAGGCAGUUAGAGAAUGAGAAAGAGAAAAAAAAUUCAAGUAGUUAAAUGGUAAAUUAUAAUUUCUAAAGUUUACUCUCCCCUAUCUUUACAAUUAAAAUCAGAUUUGGUAAAUAAUAAAAUAAAGAGGAAUUGAAAAAUAACAAACAAUUGAAUUACCAGUAUUUAACUCUGGAGUUUUCUAAUUGUUGGGGGGACCAAUCUAAAAUUAUUUAUUCUUUUUGACAAGGCACCCUCUAGCCCUCCAGAUGUUCCGCCCCUGCCUCUAACCAAAAGGGAUGAGAGAGAAAUAAUAAAACGAUGAUGAUCUUAACAGUAUCUAUCAUGGUCAAAUAUAGAAAAACCAGAUAAUCAAAAAAUUACUAAAAAAAUAGAUAUACACGUACAUGUCGGUGUUAAAAACAACAAAUAUGUAUGUGUUUGUUCACACGCACACACAUAAACUUGCAUGUAUUAUAUGCAUGGACAAAAUGUAGUGGUUCUAUAAGUCUACCAAUUCCAUGUCAGCAGGAAGAAAAGGUGCGAAUUGGUCAAAUUUUGCAGCUAUGCCAUCUGAUGUGAGAAGCUACCCAGGAGCUGCCUUCAUGGAUGAAGAAUUUUUUUUUUUUUUAAAAUCCCCAGAGUUGGUCCUUUUAUUUAAAUAAAAUUUUAUCACCAAUUUAUAAUAAUUUAGGUAUAACCAUGUGAUGCCACCUAGGAAUAAAUUUACUUUAUUAUUAUAAAAUUUCUAUUGUUUAUGUUUGCAUUAAGGGUUUCUAAUAACGAGGUUUCAACAUGUGAUUCAUUACAUUCAAUAUCUCAUUAUAUUAAUUAACAAAAGUAUGCCUAUAAUAUAUAUAUAUAUAUAUAUCUUUGUCGGAUUAAUAUUGUAUAAUUUUAUAGAUAAUCGAUGAACUAAAUAUUAUUGCAUCAUUAAAAAUGUAGUUAAUUUAAUUUUAAAAUCUUUUUAUAUACGUAUCAUCUGAUUGAUUGAGAGUAAAAAUAAUAAUAAUUAGUCCUUGCAUGAUGUGUAACUUCAUAAUCUUUAGAGCUUAGGCAACAAUGAUUUUGAUGGAUAAAAUCGAAAUUAUAAAAAGAAAAAUAGUGAUAAGGAACCAAAUUUUGGUAAAGAAACAUAGAAUGGGCUGAAUACAUCAAUUUAUGCAAGCAAGCAACACUUUGUUUUGUGACCAUUGCUACUGAUUAACCAUCUUGAUGUUGCAUAAAACUAAUAAUGCAUAGUCUCUCACAUCAUAUUUCUUUCCAUAUGAGAUUGAUGAAUUGAAUUAGUAAAAACAAUUUGUCGGUCUUUUUUAAUUUUAAUAUUGAGUAAAUUGAUUUUUUUUUUAAAUCGAAGUAAUUUAAUUUCUUUCAAUUUCGAAAAUGAUAAAUUUAGCCCCUAAAAGUUAUACAUUUUGUCUAUAUAUAUAAUUUUGAAGAUAAAGUUUUUCUUAUAAAUUCUUUUGAUUGUUUUAGAACUUUCAAAAUUAUAUACAUUUUUUUAAAUUGGGGCUAAAUUGAUAGAAUAUGUAAAUAUUAAAAGCUUAUUUUUUUUAUUAUAUCAAUGAAAAUUAAGUACAAUUGAUGGAAAAAGUUAAUCGAUAUAAUUAAUUGUCCUUAGUUGUUUACUUUUGAAAUUAACGUGGAUUAAAUUGCUCCAAUUUUUUUAAAAAGGAUUAAUUUGUUCAAUAUCAAAAUUAAAAAAGACUAAAAAAAGUGUUUUUAUCAACCAAAUUCUUAAAACCUAAACCUUUAACCCCAAAUGAACAAUUAAAAAAUUUAAAAAGAAAAUAAAAAAUUAUGAAAUUAAUUUUUUUUAGAAUUGAAAUACAGAUACAAAUAUAAUCACAAUUACAAUAGUGACAAAAACCAACAUUGAAAAACACAAUGGAACUAGUAAUUAGAAUAGUUCCGAAGAUUUAAUUAGAGUAAAACCAAAACUAAAACCCAUAGGUACACAAUGUGAGGCCAUUAAGUGAAGUGGAACAUCAUUUAGCUCUUGAUAUACAAAACGUGUAAAAAUGUUAUUUUAAAAAGAAAAAACGCAUGAACUUCGGAUCUUGGAUUUCAAAGUCGAGAAUAAAAAAAGAGAUGACAACCACGCGUUUGCAUUAUUAUUGAUAAGGGUGAUCAAAGAAUCAUAUCAAAAUAAUAAUGUUUCACACUGCCCUAUGCCAGAUAUGCUCAAAUGCGCAACUUGCAACCCCAGCUAUGAGAAUACCUCUAUUUAAAGGAUCUUCUAUGGAGUCUCUUACAGUACCUCAAUUUCCUUUCAAAUAAUAAUCCAUCUUUUUAAAAAAAGAAUGUCUUCGUUUCAAAUGAUUACUACCCUUUUCCUGCUAGCAAUGAUGGUGGGGACAUCUAAUUCUCAACUCAGUGCCACAUAUUACGCCAAAACCUGCCCCAAUGCGUCCAGCAUUGUUCGGAGUGUGCUGCAGCAAGCUGAACAAAAUGACAUUUGGAUAUUUCCCAAGCUCAUUCGCCUUCACUUUCAUGAUUGUUUCGUCCAUGUAACAACACAAUAUUUGCUCCAUUAUAUAUAUAACUCAUACCAAAAUGUAUAUACAUGCAUGCACUAACGGUGUACUUGCAGGGUUGCGAUGCCUCGCUACUGCUGAACGGUACGGACAGUGAGAAAACGGCAACCCCGAACCUUUCGACGGAUGGAUAUGCUGUUAUCGAUGAUAUCAAAACAGCGUUGGAGAAAGCUUGCCCUCGCGUCGUCUCGUGUGCUGAUAUUUUGGCCCUGGCUGCUCAAAUUUCUGUUUCCUUGGUAUGUUUUUUGUUAUUAAUGCUGCUGAUCUUUUGCAUUGAUCCAAUUAGCAGUAGAACAAUGUUAUUUAAUGAGUGUGUUUGGUUUGCAGGGUGGAGGUCCAACAUGGAAAGUCCCACUAGGAAGAAGGGAUAGUCGGACCGCACACCGGGAAGGAACUGGAACCAUCCCCACCGGACAUGAGAGCCUUGCCAAUAUUGCAACCCUGUUCAAGAGCAUGGGACUUGAUUCCACUGAUCUAGUCGCUUUGUCCGGUAUGCACAAACAUUAAACCCGAGCCUAAGCACAUGGAAUACACUCGAUGAACAAACAUUUAACAUGUUUCAUUUUUCAUGAAAUACUCAUUGGUUCUCAGGUGUUCACACAUUUGGAAGGGCUCGAUGUGCUGCAUUUAUGGACCGCCUCUACAAUUUCAAUAACGUAUCAGGGAAAAUUGACCCGAUCCUCAACGGGACAUACGCGAAAACACUUCGACAACUAUGUCCCAAAGGCGGAGACGUUACGAGUUUGAUCGAUCUCGACGAACAAACUUCGCUUACGUUCGACAACAAGUACUUUUUGAAUCUUCAAAACCGUAGGGGACUGCUUCAAACCGACCAAGAACUGUUCUCCACAAAAGGGGCUGAAACUGUGGCCAUUGUCAACAGGUUUGCAAGCAGCCAAAGCCAAUUCUUUAAUAGCUUUGCAAAGGCCAUGAUAAAGAUGGGGAACAUAAACCCCUUGACUGGUACCAAUGGAGAGAUAAGGCUUGAUUGCAGAAAGACCAAUUAAAAUAAGUUUAAAGUGUGGGUGAGUUUUUGUUUGUUAUAGUCAUAGGGGUGUGUUUCCUUGAAGCAUGCAAGGAACAUUAUCCUAUGAUGUUUUGUAAUGAUAAUGGUGAAAUUUUAGUUCAUUGUUCGGUCCUAAUGGAAAAAUAAAAUUUAAGAAUCUGAGUUCCAUGGCAGAAUUAGCCAUUCCAAAUUAUGAAAGAUUUGUGAUGUAUUAGACUUGAUAUUUGAUCAACAUUUGUAAGCAAUUAUAUGUCAUAAAUAUAAGAUCGGAAGUCAAAUAUUUUAAGAAAUUUUUAAAAAAAUAUAUAGAAAUAUUAAAAGUUAGAAAAAAAAUCAAGGAUAAAAAUAGAUUUUCAAGUGUUAAUCGGUUUUGGUUUGUUACCCAUUCAAAACUGUUUUUACUAUUUCGAUUAUAUGUUACCAUUUUAACUUUUGAUUCUUCGUCCAAUUGACUGACAUGCAUUUUAAUGCAAUAAAUAUUUGAAUUAGAGAUGAGUGUAUGACACAAAUAUCAUAGUUCUAAAAUUAGUUUGUAUUUACAAAUUUAUAAUGUUGGUUUUUAAAAAAAAAAUCAUUAAUGAAUUGAAAAAGUAAUAUAAUUACAAACUAUUUCUAAAAGUAAUCAGUUAUAUUAAUGUUAUUUAAUUUAAAUUAUUUAAUAUUUAAUAUUAAAUUCAUUAUAGUUUGAAUAUUAAUAUCAAUAUAUUAUAAUUUAAAUAAUAUUAUUAAUAAUUUCUUAUGGAUUAUUUAUUUAAUUUAUAUAUUGUUAAAUUAGUUUGUUUUAAUGUAAAAAAUGUUAAUAUUUGAUUUUUUUUAUAAUUUUAUAAUUAUCUUUUCUCUAUUUUAAUCAACAAAUGUAAUUAACUUUUAUUAUAUUUUUAAUAUAAUAUUAAUUUGAUAAAUGUUAUUAACAUGUGUUAUUUUUCUAUAAAAGUGUUAAUAAUUAAAUGAAUUGUUAAAAUAUAAUUUAAGAAAGCAGUAAAAGAAAACAUUACACAUAGUUAAAAAUUAAAUGAGUUACGGUUAAAAUUUGUAAUAAAAUUAAUUUUAAAAGACAAUCACAAUGAUGGAUGGUAAUAGUUGUAUGAUUCAAUUUAAAUAUAAAUAUUUUAUAAAAAUAAUACUACGUAAUAAAACCUGUGUACUGUAGGAAAAUUUAAAUGAUUUAAGAGAAUAAGUCUGUGUAUUAAAAUCUAGUCAUCUUAAAGGAAAUAAGAAGGAUUCUAAAAUCUUUAAUUAUUAUAUAGUACCACAUCAUCAAAUUCUCUACAUAUGACUUUACUCUAAUUUGAACAUUAUUCUAACUUAUGUCGAAACCAUUUUUUGAAAAAAAAAAAUUUAGUUAUCGACUUUAAAAACAAAAAUUGGAGUCGCCACCGAUCCUUGAUUCAGGUGUGAUCGGUUCACUUUAAAAACAAUUUUGGCCUGCGAAAUUUGAGAAAACAGGUUCGGGAGUCAGUUACGCACGAGGAAGGGUUAGCACCCUCGUAACGCCCAAAAAUCGGUACCAAAUUGAUUAUUUAAUGUCUUGGUGUCGAAAAUUAAAAAGAUUUUGUUGAACUCAAAUUUUGAAAUUUGAAAAGGAUAAUCAAUUAUUCAAGUCAUGUGAAGAAAUUGAGACCCAAUACGUUAGGGUACAAUUUCUCAAAAUCCCCGAAUUUGAAUAUCGCUUUUUCAUUAAUUUUUUAAAGAUCUUCAUUUUGAGAAAGCAAUAUGUCAUGCCCAAUGCGUUAGGACAUAACAUAUUAAAUUCCCGAAAAUGAUUUUUGUUUAUAUUUUAAAUAACGAAUAUUCUCGGUUAUUUAGAAUUAACAAAGAAAAUCGGAACCCAAUACGUUAGGGCUCAAUUUUCCUCGAAAAUCCCUAACUUUAAAUAUCGUUUUUAUUUUAAAAACCUUUGAAUCAUAAAAAAAUAAUUUUAAUGUUUUGAUAAAAUCAAAAUAUUUUCUUUAAGAAGUAUAUUAAAAUAUUAAUGCAAUGUGAAACAAAUAUUUUAAUUAAAAUUAUGCAAAUAUGUGUAUUUACAAAAUAAAUUAUGACAUAUAAGUAAAUUUUAAAAUAAAAUGCCUAUGCAUACAUUAAACGUAUAUAUAAAAAUUAUGAAAAUGAGGUAUAAAAUAUGUAUAGGUAUAAAAAAUAUAAGUAAAAUAUAUUUAUAAAAAUAUGAAAAUGUGUGCAUAUGUAUGCGAGACAAAUGCAAAAAAUAUAUUUAAAUACUUAUGAAUAAUGUAUAUACAUAUAUAUAUUAAAAAAAAACGUAUAUAAUUGAAUUUCUUUAAAAUAAAGAAAAGGAUACGAAAAUUAAAUAAUAUAAAAAUAUAUAUGCAUAUGUAUAUAAAACUAAGAAAAAUAAAGUGAUAAUAAAUAUAUAUAUAUAUAAAACAGAAUUGUAAUAAAAAAAAAAACGUACUACAUAUAUACUUAAACAUUUAAUAUAUACAUAUAUAUAUUAACAUACGUGCGGGUGUAUAUAUAUAGGUUUAAAAAUAAUAAUAUACAAUAUAAUAAUAAUUAAUAUAAUGAAAUUAAUAAUAUAAAAGAAAUAAAAAAAACAACAGAUUAAUGACUAAAUUGAAAACAAACGAAAUUUUAAAGCCAAUUUCAAAAAUAGAAAAUACAAAAAGAAGACCAAAUUAAAAUGCGCCCAACAGGAGGAGGAUCAAAAGAGUAAAUUAUCCAAAUCGCCCAAGCAUUGCGCAGCAACAUGGAUUGAAUUAAAACAGUUUCAAUAUUUCCUGGAAAAACUUGAAAACAAAAACAUGGAUUUUGAAAUGAUUAAAAAAAUGAAAAGGAUUAAAAGCAUAAAUAGCCCAUUAAUGCAAGGCCUACUUCUAACCCUAAUCCCAUUCUAAUCCAUUAUCAACAUGGCAGCUGCAAAAAGAAGGCAAAAGAGAGGAAGAAAAAAAAACAACUGCUCAAUCCUCUCCUUUAUUUCUCACGCCGGUAUUCUCCUCCCUUUUCAACUCCGACUGAAGCGCAACAAGGGCACCGACGACGCGCCACCGCUGGUAAGAGCCUCCUCUAUUUCUUCUUUUUUUCCGUUUCUUUAGUUUAAAAAAAACAACAGAAAAAUGAGACAAAAACAGAAAAAAGAAAAAAUGGAGAAAUCACCUUCAAAAUUUUGCCUUUUUCUUUAUUUUCUUUGAUUUCAGUACCAAAUUUGGCUAACCCCUAUUACAGAGAUCAAUUGGCCUUUUAUAGCCGAAUCUUUACAGCAAAAAUAAUAAUUUUUACAACUUUUUUUUCCCUAUUUUCAGUCAUGCUCUUCGUGGUUUAACCUGUUGCAGGUACGUGGAAACGGCGCUAUGCGAAGCUGCUGGUCAUGGGUGAAGCGACGUGGGCAGUUGCUGUGUUCGUGCGCUUGGAGGGCUGAACAUGGGCGAUGUGGAGGCUGCCAAACGUGGGGCAUGUGGAGCUGCUAACUGCUUCUAGGGUUUCUACUGUUUUAGGCCAAUUGGGCCAUGUAAUUGGGUUUAACUUAACCCAAGUUUUAUUGGGUUCAAUUGUAUUUAAUUUGGGCUGUGUAAAUGAUUUUGGGCUGGUUUUAUUUUGAAUGGGCCGGGCAAAAAUGGGCUAUUACAACUUAGAUUAGGCAUUUGAUUAUUGUUAAGAGAAUCUUGAAGUCCAAUAUAAGAAUAUUGAUAAUUUUAAACUUGAUUUAAGUUAAUUUUUAUAUAAAAAUAAAAUUAUCUAUAGAGGAGC
rnacentral:lncRNA from 1 species